GACCGCGCAGCUCAGUUGGCAGAGCAUUGGGCUAGUAUUCCAAAGGUCGUAGGUUCGUUUCCCACCGUGGCCA
rnacentral:tRNA from 1 species